AAGUACCUUCUUAUUACUUUUAGCAGGAAAAACGGCAUGUUUUGCAUCUGGUGUGCAAUGUGAAGAGUCCUUCAAAAAUGCCAGAAAUCAACGCCAAGGUGGCUGAAUCCACAGAGGAGCCUGCUGGUUCUAAUCGGGGACAGUAUCCUGAGGAUUCCUCAAGUGAUGGUUUAAGGCAAAGGGAAGUUCUUCGGAACCUUUCUUCCCCUGGAUGGGAAAACAUCUCAAGGCCUGAAGCUGCCCAGCAGGCAUUCCAAGGCCUGGGUCCUGGUUUCUCCGGUUACACACCCUAUGGGUGGCUUCAGCUUUCCUGGUUCCAGCAGAUAUAUGCACGACAGUACUACAUGCAAUAUUUAGCAGCCACUGCUGCAUCAGGGGCUUUUGUUCCACCACCAAGUGCACAAGAGAUACCUGUGGUCUCUGCACCUGCUCCAGCCCCUAUUCACAACCAGUUUCCAGCUGAAAACCAGCCUGCCAAUCAGAAUGCUGCUCCUCAAGUGGUUGUUAAUCCUGGAGCCAAUCAAAAUUUGCGGAUGAAUGCACAAGGUGGCCCUAUUGUGGAAGAAGAUGAUGAAAUAAAUCGAGAUUGGUUGGAUUGGACCUAUUCAGCAGCUACAUUUUCUGUUUUUCUCAGUAUCCUCUACUUCUACUCCUCCCUGAGCAGAUUCCUCAUGGUCAUGGGGGCUACCGUCGUUAUGUACCUGCAUCACGUUGGGUGGUUUCCAUUUAGACCGAGGCCGGUUCAGAACUUCCCAAAUGAUGGUCCUCCUCCUG
rnacentral:sRNA from 1 species